CCUUCUCACCCUAUCAGGUAACUGAGGUCUGCCUACUCCCGUUGAAUAAGAAGGACAAGAGAAUAAAGAUUUGGGAGACAAUUCACUGUGAAGGCCACUGGCGUCAUUUCUCCCUCUGUGCUUGGAGACUUUGUGGAGAACUCUUUGUGAUGCUCCAUAAGGUGUCUACUAGAAGGUUGAAAAUGUGCACCUUAAAAUUUGACGUGAAGUGCUGGAUGGGUGAUUCGGGCGUCUUUUCAGAGACAUCAUAGGUCGUGUUCAAAUUAGUUUUGCCAUGCUGCCUUCAGUGAGUUGUCCGUGAAUAAGGACAGAAGCAACCACAAUCUCUCACCACAUUGAAUACAGCUUGCACACCAAUGAAGGGAGGAAUAAAGAUCAACCUUAUACUGUUUCCAACAUCAAUAUUCCCAGCAUUGCUUGUUACCUUCCACACA